CUGAGGGGCGGGGAAUCAGCGCCAAAGUUUCUCCCUUCAGAUCCUCAAGAAGACCAAUUCAUCAACAAUAGUGACAGCAAGCCAUGUGACUGUGUGUGCUACAUACCAUAUGCAAGAAUCGUGUCUUUUCAUCCCAAAAUAAUGCACUGAAGUUCCAAAGAAGUUCCAUGUUUUCCAUAUCCAGUAAAGAAAUAUCACCAAGGUGUGCUGUUAGGCACAUUAUAUGAUCCGUGUUUGGCCGGGGCAGACGAUGUAAAAAUGGAAGAUUGAG